rnacentral:rRNA from 4 species
UCUGGCGGCAGUAGCGCGGUGGUCCCACCUGACCCCAUGCCGAACUCAGAAGUGAAACGCCGUAGCGCCGAUGGUAGUGUGGGGUCUCCCAUGCGAGAGUAGGGAACUGCCAGAC